rnacentral:rRNA from 1 species
GUGCCAGCCGCCGCGGUAAUACGUAGGGGGCAAGCGUUGUCCGGAUUUAUUGGGCGUAAAGCGCGUGUAGGUGGCCUUACAGGUCCGCUGUGAAAACUCCAGGCUCAACCUGGAGACGUCGGCGGAAACCGUAUGGCUAGAGUCCGGAAGAGGAGAGUGGAAUUCCUGGUGUAGCGGUGAAAUGCGCAGAUAUCAGGAAGAACACCCGUGGCGAAGGCGGCUCUCUGGGACGGUACUGACACUGAGACGCGAAAGCGUGGGGAGCGAACAGGAUUAGAUACCCCGGUAGUCC